rnacentral:rRNA from 1 species
CCUACGGGGGGCAGCAGUGGGGGAUAUUGCACAAUGGGGGCAACCCUGAUGCAGCGACGCCGCGUGAGCGAUGGAGUACUUCGGUAUGUAAAGCUCUGUCAGCAGGGAAGAAAAUGAUGGUACCUGAGUAAGAAGCCCCGGCUAACUACGUGCCAGCAGCCGCGGUAAUACGUAGGGGGCAAGCGUUAUCCGGAUUUACUGGGUGUAAAGGGAGCGUAGACGGCAGUGCAAGUCUGGAGUGAAAGGCGGGGGCUCAACCCCCGGACUGCUCUGGAAACUGUACGGCUGGAGUGCAGGAGAGGUAAGUGGAAUUCCUAGUGUAGCGGUGAAAUGCGUAGAUAUUAGGAGGAACACCAGUGGCGAAGGCGGCUUACUGGACUGUAACUGACGUUGAGGCUCGAAAGCGUGGGGAGCAAACAGGAUUAGAUACCCCAGUAGUC